rnacentral:rRNA from 1 species
UGAAGAGGGAAAAGCUCAAAUUUAAAAUCUGGCAGCAUUUUGUUGUCCGAGUUGUAACCUAGAGAAGUGUAACCUGUGCUGGACCGUGUAUAAGUUUCCUGGAAUGGAGCAUCACAGAGGGUGAGAAUCCCGUCUUUGACAUGGACUACCAGUGCAUUGUGGUUGUGCUCUCAACGAGUCGAGUUGUUUGGGAAUGCAGCUCUAAAUGGGUGGUAAAUUCCAUCUAAAGCUAAAUAUUGGCGAGAGACCGAUAGCGAACAAGUACCGUGAGGGAAAGAUGAAAAGAACUUUGGAAAGAGAGUUAAACAGUAUGUGAAAUUGUUGAAAGGGAAACGUUUGAAGUCAGUCGCGUUAGCUGGGGAUCAGCCUGACAUUGUUGGGUGCACUUCCUGGUUGACGGGCCAACAUCAGUUUUGACUGCCAGAAAAAGGCCAAGGGAAUGUGGCACCUUUGGGUGUGUUAUAGCCUUUGGUCAUAUAUGGUGGUUGGGACUGAGGAAUGCAGUGUGCCGAAAGGCCGGGUUUCGACCACGUUCACACUGAGGAUGUUGGCAUAAUGGCUUUAAGCGACCCGUCUUGAAACACGGACCAAGGAGUCUAACAUGCAUGCGAGUGUUUGGGUGGAAAACCCUUACGCGUAAUGAAAGUGAAAGUUGAGAUCCCUGUCAUGGGGAGCAUCGACGCCCGGACCAGAACUUUUGGGACGGAUCUGCGGUAGAGCACGUAUGUUGGGACCCGAAAGAUGGUGAACUAUGCCUGAAUAGGGUGAAGCCAGAGGAAACUCU